AGUAAAAUUGCUGGGUCAUCUGAUAAAUUUAUGUUUAACUUUUUAAGAAACUACCAAACUGUUUUCCAAAGGGGCUGUAUCAUUUUAUAUUCCCACCAGCAAU
rnacentral:pre_miRNA from 1 species